rnacentral:lncRNA from 1 species
AUUCCAAAUCCUAUGAACUCCUAGAACAUUUCUAAGUGUGGACUAAUUAGAGGCAUCACAAUUGGGGUGCUUAAAGGAUCUCAGAUCGUGGCAAAACAGAAGCUGUUCGUGCAGAGCUCUAUUUUCUGGACAGUGUUCGUAGCUUGCUGUUUUCAGUCAUUUGCUCCUACUUCACCAAGUCGUUUUUGAAACUACAAGUGAGGUAAUUAAACUUCAAUCUUUCCUCUUGAUUUUCAUUUUUGAAUGAAGCUGAUCCGAGGUUUCUAGAGCUUCCGCCGUCCGUUUUAAUUUUACUGCACAAAAGUUGCGAUUUUAGGAACCUCAUGGACAAAUGUUGUCCUUCAACAAGUGCAUGUGACCAAUGAGUUUUUGCAUUCUUAAGCAAAGCCAUGUAUAUUACUGAAUUUGCUGUUGGCUACUCUGGAUAUGUAGGUGUCAUGACCCAGCCUAGACCUGAUAAGAUAUUGUUCGUUUUGGUCCUUAAUAAGACCCGCACAGUUUUGUCUAGGGCGCCCAUACACCCCAAAACGUGUCUUGCUAAUUAAGGUGUGGAUCACCCCUUAUAAACCCAGCAUUUCUCCCGUGCUUUGCCAAUGCGGGAUUUGCCUAGGGUGUUAUAUACACCUCAUUUAGGGACUCAGCGUCCUCGUUGAAGUUUGCCCCACCAUCGUUCAAGAGGACAUGCAGAGCCGCUCUGAUACCAUCUGUCAUGACCGAACUCAGACCUGACAAGAUAUAAUCCGCUUUGUCAAUUCCUUUUGUUCCUUUGGUCUCUUGUGGCUCGAGCUUCAAGAAUAUCCUUCUCAGCAAGAAUGGCUCGAUCCACCAAAUCAGCAUAAUUAUUAAGCUUAAGGAUAGUCAACCUCCCAUUGAUGUUUGUAUGUAAUCUCUUUAGGAACUUCCUACACUUGCUACCCUCAUUAGCAACCAAAGUAGGAGCAAAACGAGAUAGGACUGUAAAUUGUUCCUUGUACUCAGUGACAGACUUCAUUCCCUGAGUUAAUUUUAGAAAGUUGGCCUCCAUUUAAUGCCAAACCUAUUCAGGAAAAUACUUUUCCUGAAUAGCUCCAAAAACAACUCCUAAGUGAUAGGCGCAUCUCUUAACCCAGCCCUUAAAAAACGGGCUUUAGCAUUCCACCAGUGGUUUGCCUCACCCUGAAGGACAAAUGAGGCCAAAAUCACCUUACGAUCAUCAUUGCAUCCCAGAGCCACAAAUAUCUUCUCCAUCUAUUUUAGCUAUGCCUCUGCGACCAUAGGAUCGGCAGUUCCUUGAAAGAUAGGACAUUCUUAAAUCACUCUAGGUUUACCAUAACUCCUUGGUCUCUUUCACAAUGUUGCCUUACAGCUGGCACAUUCCCUUCUGUCCCACCUCUGCCUCCAACCAUAUUAUGAAUCAGCUUGCUCUGUUGUUCCAUUAACCCAAACAUUGCGCCCAUCAUAGGAUUACAUUCAUUAGCCAUCUCACGUAAGCUUGGGUCCAUGUCAACAGCGACACCUGAAGCAUUUCUCGAGCUAUAGGCAUUCUUAGUACCUCCCUUACGUGACAUCUUCAACUAAAUCACAAGGUAUAAUACUAGACAAUAAGUAACUUAGACGAAAGAAUUAUGUCCUUAAAAAGGACAUACCAAUGAGCAAAGUACUAAAUAAGUAGGAAGGAAAAAAAAUUGAGAUUGACAACAAGAGCAGACAAAUAUUUCAUUCUACGUUAAUAUAAAAAAUCCUAUAUCAAGAAGUUAUUACAAAGUCAUAAGCAACCAGAAAAAAAAAAAUAGCAUUACUAAUUGUUAAACGAUUACUCCUUGUCUUAAAGAUCUAUUCUCUCCAUUAACCUCAAUAAAGUCUAUAGAGUCUCAUGCCUUCUUUCUACAACCACAAAGUUUAUAGGUUUACUCAACUGGAUAGGGAAAUGAUCUAAUUCAACUUUUUUUUUCCUCACUCGUUACUCUAGUUGUCUUAUUUUCCUUAAGAGUUUUAUGAGAUAGUUUUAUCUCGGCAUGGAGAAACCCAUCUUUUGUUAUAGUAAGGCUUAAAUUAAGGUCUUGUCCAAAAUAGGCGACGUACUACACGCUUAUUCUUGUUAGCUCCCUUGCCAUAAACACGUAGUUCUCGUAUAGCCUCAUUGAAUUUCUUAUUUAAAGCUCUUGGUCUUGGAGAAGUAUCUAUGUAAACAAUUCUAGCCCGUCCUAGUCCUAGUCUAUCAUCCAUUCACUGCUUAUGAAGUCUUCUAAGAUCUUUGACAAGAACUCCACCUAAGAUAAACUGUUCAAUCCUGUUAAUUUCUGUCCAUCUCUUAUUCCUAGCACUUUUCAUAUCCAUAAUGUUUCUCUUCAUGUCUACAAAACAAAUGUAGUUAACUCUAUUAGACAAUCUAAUUAGACCUUAAAAUGAAGUCUACAGAAUCCUAACCUAGGCUUUGAUACCAUCUGUCAUGACCCAAACCAGACUUGGUAAGAUAUCAUAACCUAUACAUUCCAAAAUGCGUCUUGCCAAUUAAAGUGUGGAUCACCCCUUAUAAACCCAACAUCUCUCCUCUGCUUUACCGAUGUGGGAUUUUCCUAGGGUGUUACAAUAGAUCCCAGACAUAUCAGUUUCCUACCAACUGGUAUAUGAACGCUAAUUUUGGUUUCAGUUUAGUUUUCUCAAUAUGUAGGCUCACCUCCGUUCACAAUGUUCCUACCAAUGUUUAUAUAUUAUGGAUCGGGUUUCUCUCACGAUCUAAACUCCUUCGAAAAAACAUUCAUGUGGGUGAUUUAUAGUUAAUAAAUAAAAAAAGAAGUUAAAUUCUAUUUUUUAUCACUAAAAGACACAUGACACAUGAUCUUUGAAAUUAAGCUCAAAAGAACUCACAUCAGGAGAGGGUUCGAUGGAGUCCUAGCAAUAGCAAAGACUACUCUUAAUUUCCCUCCCAUUGUUGGACAUCUGAUGAUAAAGAUAUCAGUAACGUUAAAAAAUAACAAAUGCGGCUAUCUCCAUUUUUCAGGGCAGAACUGAUCAGUACAAUACGCAUGAGUGUUUAAGUAGCUGCUUUAUGAUCCGAGAAUUCAUGAAGAAUCACAAUGCUUAUACGUACUUCUCUUUUUUUUUUUUUGGUCUGAACCACAACCCAGAUUAAUUCCCGCUGCAUCGGGUCGGCCCGUAAAGGGUAAAGUGUUGGCCAAAGUGGUGACUCCAUACGAGAGUAGGGCUUCAACCCUUAACAUUUCUUAAGGAGUGAGAGUGCCGAACCACUCACACUAACCAACUUUAGUUAUAGGUACUUCUCUCUUUCUUAUCGUGAUUACAUGCAACUUUGCAACUAUUGGUUGAGUCUUCGACUUGCCAAUGAACCUAUAUAUCCAUGUGGGCUAGAGAGUAAAAUAAUAAACUCCCAAAUAUAUAAAUUAGUUAAUUCCAGAUAACAGAGAUUGAAUGAUCAGUCUGACAGCCGCAUCUAAUAUAUACACGUGCAUGUGAUGUUAUUGCCUAGAAAAAUGGCAAUGGCUGCAACUUCUAUUCGCGGCAAAAAUCAAUGCGUUUCCCAGUUAAGAGAGACUUUGGUCUUGUUUAAGUUAUAAUAGUGUUUGGUAAAUAUUAAUUGUUGUGCUUUGAAAGUUAAGUUGUUUUGAUCUCACACUUACAUGAGAAAUACCUAUAAUAUUUUUAGUAUUUUAAUCUUAAUUACUAUUCAAUAGCAUAUAUUCUAUACAAUCAACUUUUAUUUUAUAGUUAUAAUUUUUUUCUACAUCAGCAAUGGUUUAAAAUUGUAGCACCUUAAUACUAACUGGACUUUAGCUUGCAAGAGAGGAAAAUGACCGUGACACUUUAUGGAUUGGUUGAGUAGUUUAGUUGACUUGCUUAACAGGGUGGAGGAAGAGUUUGGCUUCAAUCAUCCAAUCAGAUGUCUCAAAAUUGCAUGCAAGAAGUUGAUUUCAUUGAUCUCACUUCCAGGUUACAUUAAUUAUCCCUGAACACAAUAUUUAUCAAUCCUCGACAAUUUUGGCAACUAGCAAUUAGCUAUUUUCUCCUUUUUUUAAUUUGUGCGUAGAUAAUUUUCCUACUUGUGCUUAAAUUUAAUGAUUAGCGUAUUAGGAAGUAAUUAGUGACAUUCUCUUGUGCGAUACGUAUAUUUAAAACAAUGUACCGCUAAAUUUUAUCUCAUAUAUAUUCUUUCUUAUGCAAUAACUAGCAAUCACAAUUUUGUAAAAACACGAGCACAGUGCCGAUGCAACACUAAUUCCAAAUCCCCAAAUUAGGUGCCAUUUCUUUUCUUAAUUAGUGUAUUUAUGUAGUUAAUUAACUCUCUUGUACAGUAUUACAGCAGAGGUUUGCUAAAUAAAUUAUUUAAAAAAUACUGUUACUGAUUUUCUUCAAUAAGUCUAAAGGAAAUAUUUCAACUGAGAGAUUACAUCUUGGUUGUUUAAAUGCAUACUGUUACAAGUAUAGUAACAGAGUUUAUUCUUCUAUAUCACACAAGUCACUUUCCCUUUACAUGCUCUUUCAGUUUGAAAAUGAAAGAUGAUAUGUACAUAUUUAAGAGUAUGCAAAAAACAGUAGUAAGUCUAUUAAACUAACAAAUACAUACAAGAAAACAACACAUUUGUUGAGUAAUUGUGGGCUUCUCGUUCAUUCUUGAGAUUGCGGAUACAAAUUUUCUCGCGUACAUUAUAUAUGAAAGUUGAAUUAUCAUUUAAUUUCAAAUAUUUGAGAAUAGGUAGAUUGAUCACCUCGUUCUAAAUCCAGAUAUGUAUAUCGAGAGUCCAGACUGUGCCAUUAUUGUACAAUUUUAUAAUCCAGUGCUCAGAAGAAUAUUGGUCGUGUUUUGUACUUCCCACAAGUAAUUAUACUAUCUAAACACACAGGUAAUCUUCAUUCGUUCUCAGACUGUGCUGACACAUUGGAACUUGAAUUUGUAUUAAGUAUCAAUAUUAACUACAAGCGACUACAUAUGGUAGCGGCCAGUCCAAAUUGCAAUUUCCAAUUAUCUGGCCAACCUUGAAAAUAGUGGCCGCAAAGCUGAUAUCUCAUCUAGUCAUCUUCCAUCAAAUUCUGCAUUUAUUGCAUCAAGAUAAGCAUCACAUGGACAUGGAUUUCAUGUUACUCUUCAUUUUCAGAUGUUUGCCAUUAGUUUUUGAGGCACCAAUUGCGGCAUGCAACAAGGGUGGUUUGAAUUUCAUGAACCAUGGCUUUAAAAUAGUUUUUUUUUAUUUUUUUUAUAAAUAUUGGUUAAAUACGAGAGAGUAUUGAUGACAUCAAUGUUAAGCUAACUGAGCAAAGCCAUGUGACCUUUUUCGUAUAAUAGUGGGAAGUCUGCUGAUUUUAGAAAAAAGAGAGGAGAGGAGAGGAGAGGAAAAAAAAAAAGAAAUAAAAGAGAUGAUUUUUUAUCAAAUUAAAUAGUUAAACUGUGAUUGAUCCUCUUUUUUCUUUAUUUUAUUGGAUUAGUAUGCUAGCUAGCUAAAAAUUCAAAACCCCUUUCUUGGUAACACACUAUAAAUAUAAUACGUAAUAAACCUUCAAUCUCCAACUCUUCUUCACUUUGCUCAAAUUUUUGAAAUGCUGCAUGCAACACCGUCCAUUCCGAGGUUCAUUUCAAAACAUCCUUGAUCACUUUUUCACUUCGAAAUUCAUCAUCAGUACUUAAAUUCCUUAGGAAUUGCUUUCUUUGACAAGCAGAGCACAAAAGACCAGAAACUUGUAUUGAAAAUAAAACUUGAAUUGAAAUGUUUGUUUACAGACCAUCGUCUAUUUAUACAUAAGGAAACAAAAGUGACAGCUAGCUAAAAAUAACAAAUUCAGAUUAAACAAAAUAAUCCAGCAAUCAUUAGCCAAUGAUAUGAUGCUUCUAGAAUCUUCAUCCAUUUAUUCCAUGUACUGGUAUUUCUCUGUGUAGCAAUUUUGCCACCUCAUUGAAUUUGCAUCAGCUGGUAAAUAGGUGUAGCUUAGGUGGCAUGCCAAUGUGUCACUGAGCUCAGCUGAUGACUUGUCAAGGUCAUGGCUGCUAUCUUCAACACCCUCUCUCAAACACAAGGUUUUGUCAAACACCUUGAGUUUGCUUCUGAAACAGCUGAAUUUAUAGUAAGGUAAUGGCUUGGUUAGAACAUAAGCUAUUUGGUCUCUGCCUGCAACAAAACUGAUUUCCAACUCUCCUCUAGCUACCAUGUCUCUGAUAAAGUGUAGAUCUAUCUCGAAAUGCUUAGUUUUGGAGUGAAAUACAGGAUUAGUUGCUAUUGCAGCUGCACUUGUGCUAUCACUUAGGAUUGUUGGUGUUCUUUGUAUUUCUAUUUUCAGCUCACUUAGCAGAGAACCAAUCCAUGUGAGUUCUGUAGUGCAAAGAGCCAUUGCUCUGUAUUCUGAUUCAGCCGUAGAUCUAGCAACUAAGCCUUGCUUUCUUGAACUCCAAGCAAUGAGAUUUCCACCCAAGAAUACACAAUAACCACUGAUAGAUCUCCUGUCAUCCAAGUCAUUUGCCCAAUCUGCAUUCGUGUAGGCUAUUAGAUCAAAGUACUCUGAUCUUUUGAAUUUCAGACACAUGUUCAUGGUGCUUUUGAGAUACCUCAACACUCUUUUGCAUGUUAUCCAGUGAGGUUGCCUAGGAUCAGACAUGUAUUGGCUAAGCUUGUUCACUAAAUAAGCAAGCUCAGGUCUUGUGAGUAUUGCAUACUGCAGGCUACCUAUAACACUUCGAUACAAUGUGGGAUCAUAAAAUUUUCUCCUUCAUUUUUCUUUAGUUUCUCUGUAGUACUGAAAGGUGACUCAAUUCCUUUACAGUCACUCAUCUCUGUUCUGGCAAGCAGAUCUUGUAUGUACUUGGUCUGAGAUAACAGAAUGGCAUUUUGGUUUCUGUUCACCUGAAUCCCCAGAAAGAAGUUCAGCUCCCCCAAGUCUUUUAAGGCAAAUGCUCCAUUUAAAUUACUGACCAGCUCUUCAAUACUGCCACUAUUGUCACCUGUAAUGAUGAUGUCGUCAACAUAAAUCAGCAGUAUAACUAUCUCAGAUUUUGUUCUUCUGUAGAAUAGUGAGGUAUCACACUUGGAGUUUUCAAAUCCCCAAGAGUUCAAAGCACCCUUUAGUUUGUCAAACCAUGCCCUGGGAGCUUGUCUCAAACCAUACAAUGCUUUCUUUAAUCUGCAUAUGUGAUUAGGCUUACUUUUGUCCACAAAACCUUCAGGCUAUGGCAUGUAAACCAUUUCUGUCAGCUCACCAUUCAAGAAGGCAUUAUUUAUGUCUACCUGCCUCAAACUCUAGUCAUUAUUUACUGCCAAUGUGAGGAUGACUCUGAUUGUUGCAGCCUUAACAACAGGGCUAAAAGUUUCUGUAAAAUCAAUGCCUUGAAUCUGCAAAAAUCCCUUCACCACUAGUCUGGCCUUAUAUUUGUUUAUGGUUCCAUUUGGAUUCUCUUUGACUCUGUACACCCAUUUAUUUCCAAUCAACUUGCAACUUGAGUCACUUGGUACCUAGGUCCAUGUUUCAUUUUUCAACAAGGCAUUGUAUUCAUCUUCCAUUGCCUUUUUCCAGUUUGGUUCUUUUAAGGCUUCUGAGGUGUUUAAGGGUAAUGCAGUCUGUGGUUGAGUAGAAACUUGGUAUAAUUUUGGUUUAAAGAUCCCUGCCUUAGAUCUUGUUACCAUAUGAUGUGAUGGUAUGGCUUCUUUUGUGUUUGGAGCUAUGAUAGAGGAUGAAGGUUGGUCAUUUUCUUGAGGCUGGUGAUUUGUAUAAGGAGAAGACAUUUGAUUAUUUGACAUCAUAUCAGUGCUCAAGUUCUGUUGUGUCUUACCUUGGUCAAGGUUCUGGAAUUGUUCUGAAGCUUUAGGAGUUUCCAGAGAGUGGCCUUGAUCAACUGUUGUCUGAGUGUUUUGAGGAGUAUCAAGAGAGAAUGACACGACCUAAAAUUUUUCUAAGAGAGUAAUGAAAUCACUUUGACUUGUGGACUCUUGUCUACUGAACUUGGUAUCAUUAGAGAAAGGAAAUGAGCUUUCAUUGAAUCUGACACUUGCAGAGAUAUAUAUUCUACCUGAGUGAUGCAUGCAAACAUAUCCUUUGUGAGUUAUGCUUAUUCCUAGCAAUGUGCAUUUGACAGUAUGGAAAUCAAGCUUGUGUUUGUUAUAUGGCCUAAAAAAUGGAUAACAUUCACAUCUAAAUACUCUGAUUUGUGAGUAAUUUGGUUUGCAAUGGUAAAGCAAUUCAAAGGGGGUUUUAUUUCCAAUAACAGGUGAUGCUAAUCUGUUGAUAAUGUAGGUAGCAUAAGUGAAAGCUUCUUGCCAGAAUUUUAAUGGCAUUUUAGCUUAUGCCAGCAAUGUGAGUCCAGUUUCUACCACAUGUCUGUGUUUUCUCUCAACCUUACCAUUUUGUUCAUGUAGAUAUGGACAUGAUUGUCUCAAUGCUAUGCCCUCCUUGUCAAGAAAAGCUUUGAAUGGUUUAAAUUCUCCUCCCAUGUUUGUCUGUAAUGCUUUAAUUCUCAGAUUCAAUUAGUUUUCAAUUUGGCUUUUAAAGGUGAUGAAUGUAUUGAGAGCUUGGGAUUUUGUUGUCAAGGGAAACAGGCAGGUGUAUCUUGUCAUGUCAUCCAUAAAAGAUAUGUAAUAUCUAUGUCCAUGACUUGAGGGAAUUGGUGCUGGUCCCCAUAAGUCAGCAUGAAUCAAUUCUAAGGCCUUGCUGGUUUUAGUUUCUGUGCUUUUAAAGUUUUGUUUAGAUUGUUUUCCAUACUGACAUGCACAACAAAAUGAAGGAACAGAAUUCUUGUUUAAUUUGAACUGAUUACAAGACAACAAGGUGCUUUUUAGAGCAGAUUCAUUUGGGUGCCCUAGUCUGAGAUGCCAGAGAUCAAUGUCUUUCAAAACAUCAUUGCUUGAUCUAUCAGUUUCAGAGGACUCAACACAAACGUUUGCUAACUUGACACUACUCAAAUUAAAAGACAACAUAGACACUGGAUUGCUGAUGCAAUUUAUUGACUCAGGCAUGAAGGAAGAAGAUAAGACAGCAGCAUAAGGAGUUUUGUUCCCACUCAGGUGAGUAGGUAAGCACAGUGUUGAGUGUUAGAAAAUGUAUAGUUAUAAAGGAGAAAACCAUCAUUUUACAUUUUAAGUCUUACUAACAACUCUUACUUUUAUGUAUUUAACCUUCUUGUGAUGUAAUUACGCGUGUGUUAUUUUAAUUAAGUAUUUUAUGUAUUUUAGGGGCAUUAUAGUCAUUUCACAAUAAAGGAGAGAUCAGACGGCAAAACGGACAUCACUUUUGAACUCAGGACGGUCGAAAA